rnacentral:rRNA from 1 species
CCUACGGGAGGCAGCAGUGGGGAAUCUUGCGCAAUGGGCGAAAGCCUGACGCAGCAACGCCGCGUGCGGGAAGAAGGCUUUCGGGCUGUAAACCGCUUUCAGCAGGAACGAAAAUGACGGUACCUGCAGAAGAAGGAGCGGCCAACUAUGUGCCAGCAGCCGCGGUGAUACAUAGGCUUCAAGCGUUGUCCGGAUUUAUUGGGCGUAAAGAGUUCGUAGGCGGUCGAGUAAGUCGGGUGUGAAAAUUCUGGGCUCAACCCAGAGACGCCACCCGAUACUGCUUGACUUGAGUUCGAUAGGGGAGUGGGGAAUUCCUAGUGUAGCGGUGAAAUGCGCAGAUAUUAGGAGGAACACCGGUGGCGAAGGCGCCACUCUGGAUCGAUACUGACGCUGAGGAACGAAAGCAUGGGUAGCAAACAGGAUUAGAUACCCUGGUAGUCCAUGCCGUAAACGGUGGGCACUAGGUGUGGGUUUCUAUUAACGAAAUCCGCGCCGUCGCUAACGCAUUAAGUGCCCCGCCUGGGGAGUACGGUCGCAAGCUAAAACUCAAAUGAAUUGACGG